CAUAGCACGUUGAAACACCGGUUCCCGUACGAUUAUCAAAGUUAAACAACAUCGAGCCUGGUCAAUACCUAAAUGGGCGACUGCUUGGUAAUAUCAGGUGUUGCAAU